GUGCGAGGCGGAGUGCGGAGCUAGAAGGGGGCGGUCGGAGCGCGAGCUGUCAACUCUGGCGCCUCCCCGCUCCGCACCGAGGCUCCGAAGUGACAGGUGGAAUAGCAGCCCGGGCUUCGGACUCCAGGCCUUGGUUUAUCCUCUGGGAGGGGACGUUCAGUUUGGUGUCACUGCCUUGGUUGUUUAAGGUGCCAGAAGUUUUUACCCACCAUUGCUUUAGCACCAUCAGUGCAAACGUCAACACAGUUAAAAAGGUGAGAAGACUGAGGCCCAAGAAGGUUAAGUAUCACAAGAUAAACCAGCUAGUAAGUGGCUGGGUUCCUAGAGUGGUGAGUGUGGCUCCCUUUGCCAGACUGGGAAACAGACACCAUAAGAGCCAUCUUCCCUCCAAAAGAGGGCCAGCCCUUGACCAAGAUGGACAACAGGGUUCCACACUCCUGAAACCCACUGCUUCAACCAUCAUGGCAUCAGAUAAGAAACCGACCUAGUCUGAUCCUCUUAUUUGGCUGGCAGCUGUGGCACCUGAAGGUCUGAGUUCAACUUCUGCCACUAAACUUCUCUGAUGAGCAAACUGGGAAACCAAUGCAUGGGGCUCCCACAUAGCACUGGCAAGUGAACAAAUGAACUUGGGACAUAUGUGCUGGGGUCCAGGCCACAAGCAUGUCCCUUGUGGGAGACAACAUUUGGUUGAAUAUAAGUUCUUACCACAUUCUAUGGCCCAAGGCUCCCACUUGCCAAACUCUCUGGCAUAGGUGUUCCUGUGGGUCACAAAUGACAGACCCAACAGCAACUUCCAGGACAUGCAUGCUUUGAGUGCACCCAGCAGGGGGCAUCCUUGCCCUUCCACUGCCCACCCUGGAGGGGUGAGACUGGCCCACUGCAGGGGGUGCCCUCUACCCAGCUCAGCCCAGGAGCCCAAGGCCACAUUUCCCAAACGGGGCAUUCAUGUAACUACCCUGAUUUUCUCUACUAUUAUUUACAUAACAUUUUUCUUUGUCAACACAAAUUUUCAAACCUAAAUGUAUUUUUAAAAGAAAAAAGCUCUUUGAUGAA